AGGACGAACGCUGGCGGCGUGCUUAACACAUGCAAGUCGAGCGGAAAGGCCCUUCGGGGUACUCGAGCGGCGAACGGGUGAGUAACACGUGAGUAACCUGCCCCUAGCUCUGGGAUAGCUCCGGGAAACCGGGAUUAAUACCAGAUACGACCACUUUAGACAUCUGUCGUGGUGGAAAGGAUUCCGGCUAGGGAUGGGCUCGCGGCCUAUCAGCUUGUUGGUGGGGUAACGGCCUACCAAGGCGACGACGGGUAGCCGGCCUGAGAGGGCGACCGGCCACACUGGGACUGAGACACGGCCCAGACUCCUACGGGAGGCAGCAGUGGGGAAUAUUGCGCAAUGGGCGAAAGCCUGACGCAGCGACGCCGCGUGGGGGAUGAAGGCCUUCGGGUUGUAAACCCCUUUCAGCAGGGACGAAGCGAAAGUGACGGUACCUGCAGAAGAAGCGCCGGCUAACUACGUGCCAGCAGCCGC
rnacentral:rRNA from 1 species